AAAUAAAGCAAGACAGGAGUUGGCAUUGUCAAUCAAAGUCACACAGCUCCUGUGGUAGCUGAGCCAGAAUUUGAAAUCAGUUCUACCAGACCCCCAAAACGCUCUCCUGCCUGCCAGCCCGACCAGGGUGUGUUGAAGGUCAGCGACUGCAGUGACCAGUGACUUCAUCCUUGUAGAGGCAGAUGGCGAGCGAAGAAUUGUCAUCCACAGGAUUACUACAGCAAGGAUAUGGCCAAAGGAGAGAUGAGAGGUGGGAAGAGUGAAUUAGAAGCUUUUGUGAUGAGCGAAGUGGAGCCUGAACAGGGAUGGUGGCUGAAAAAAUGAAAGGUGUUGGAAGAAGAAAACAAAGAGAUAGAAAAUGAUCAAGAAGCCAACCCUAGAAUGCUUCAUAGGGAAGAGAGGGGCAGCUGAUCAGCAGCUACAAAUGCAGCACAACGGUUAAGAUCAUGGACUUUGAAGUCAGAGUUUCUGGGUUCAAAUCCUCCAUUUCCUCAUCUAUAAAAGCCAUUCUUAUUUCUGCAGAAUCACUGCACCCAAGGACAAAUCAAGAGCCACAGAGCUGCUUCGGGGGCAGCAGAUGCCAGGUCCUGGGCUGCUCAAAUCUUGGCAAUAAUUUGCCAAAUUGCUGCAAACAUUAGUGAGAAUCAUGGUGCCCAAUCCAAAGAUGUCUAGGCAUGCUAUGUUGCUUUCUUUUUUCUUUCAUUCUUUUUUUUUUUUUCAUGAAUAAAAAGGGUCAUUGAGGGGUUCCCUGAUGGCCUAGACAUUAAGGAUCCACGUUGUCACUGCAGUGGCUUGAGUCACUGCUGUGACAUGGGUUCAAUUCCCAGCCCAGGAAGUUUCACAUGCUUCAGGCACAGCCAAAAAAAAAAAAAAAGGAGGGGGGUCAUUGAUAUCUAUUCAGAUGUGCCAAAAACACAUAUGAGGCCAGGUAGGAAUUAUUCAAAAGUGCAGGUAAUUAAGGCCUUAUGUUCCUGGCAUGAUGCUCUCAAUCUGCAGUGUGAGUAUUUCGGUGUAGAGCUGCAUCCUCAGCCUUCAUUGCACUCCAUUCAACCUGUAAGUUAAACACUAAUCACACCCCAGUGAAAGCACCUUAUAUUUAUAUAAGGUGUUGUCUUAGCUCCAGCUGCUAGAACAAAAAUACCAUAGACUGGGUGGCUUAGCCACAAGAGAAAUUUAUUUCUCACAGUUCUAGAAACUGGAAUUCCAAGAUUAUGGUGCCUGCACGACUUGGUUCUGGUGAGAGCCCAUUUCUUGGGUCAUAAACAGCAGUCCUCUCAUUCAAACAUCAUGGUGGUAGAAAGGGCCAGAGGGCUCUCUGGGAUCUCUUUCCUAAGGGCAUUAAUCUCCAAGUCUUUCUUUUUUUCUUUUUUUCUUUUUUUUUUUUUUUUUUUUUGUCUUUUUG